rnacentral:rRNA from 1 species
CCUACGGGUGGCUGCAGUAGGGAAUCUUCCACAAUGGACGAAAGUCUGAUGGAGCAACGCCGCGUGAGUGAAGAAGGGUUUCGGCUCGUAAAGCUCUGUUGGUAGUGAAGAAAGAUAGAGGUAGUAACUGACCUUUAUUUGACGGUAAUUAUUUCGAAAGUCACGGCUAACUACGUGCCAGAAGCCGCGGGAAUACGUAGGGGGAGAGCGUUGUACGGAUUUAUUGGGCGUAAAGGGAGUGCAGGCGGUUCAAUAAGUCUGAUGUGAAAGCCUUCGGCUCAACCGUGGAAUUGCAACGGAAACUGUUGAGCUUGAGUGCAGAAGAGGAGGGUGGAACUCCAUGUGUAGCGGUGGAAGGCGUAGAUAUAAGGAAGAACACCGGUGGCGAAGGCGGCUCUCUGGUCUGCAACUGACGCUGAGGCUCGAAAGCAUGGGUAGCGAACAGGAUUAGAUACCCGUGUAGUC